AACAGCUGCCGCAAAUCCCCGAACAAUCCCGCUCUGAGGCAAUCCGUGCCAUCGUCUACUCCAUCAUCCUGCAAGAACAACAACAGGGUUUUGUCCAACCUCAGCAGCAACAACCCCAACAGUCGGGCCAAGGUGUCUCCCAACACCAACAGCAGUCGCAGCAGCAGCAGCAACUCGGACAGUGUUCUUUCCAACAACCUCAACAACUACAACAAUUGGGUCAGCAGCCUCAACAACAACAGAUACCACAGGGUAUAUUCUUGCAGCCACACCAGAUAUCUCAACUUGAGGUGAUGACUUCCAUUGCACUCCGUACCUUGCCAACGAUGUGCGGUGUCAACGUGCCGUUGUACAGCUCGACCACUAUUAUGCCAUUCAGCAUUGGCACUGGAGUUGGUGGCUACUGAUAAGAAAAGAUUUCUAGUAAUAUAUAGUCGUUAGAUCACCGUUGUUUAGUCGAUGGAUAUGUCGAUGUAGCGGUGACAAAUAAAGUGUCACACAAACGUCAUGUGUGACCCGCAAACUAGUAGUUAAAUUCUGGAAUAAAAUACAAAUAAAGUUUUCUCUAGACAAUGUUCAUACCGGCGUUCUGUGGACGUCGAUGUGACUACCAUGCUUGCAAGUUCAUAAGUUCGUCUUGUCUGGUCACAAACCUGGUGCGUUAAUUUAUUAUUCAUGUAUAGAAAUAAUCAAAAUUUAAAUAUAAUAGUGUUAUUGUAAAAUUUUGGUUGAGUUGAAGCAAGGACUA
rnacentral:lncRNA from 1 species